UUCGGCGCCUUUCUGUGUCUCGGCGCUUAAGGGAGCCCCGGUGAAGCCCGGCGAGCCCCGCGGAGCGCGGACUUCCAGAGCGCGUGAGUUGCAGCGGAUCCCUCAGCAGAGCCCCUCCAGCCUUAAGGCCGCUGGCACCAGAUCUGAGCGGGAGACGCAGCAACUCCGAUCUUUUACAGAAAAUGAAUGACAACCGCAUCAUGGCGAAGAAACCCCACCACGUGAUAGCUGACCUCGUGCAAAGGCUGACGCCGCCCGUUCUGCUUCUGCUCCUGGCUGUACUGCUGGUGAACCUGGCCCUCUACCAACACCUCAGCAAGGUCUCUGUUCCCUCUGGAAAGGCAAAGGUGGGAUACGAUGUUUGUCCACACGGCUACUUCAGAUUAGGAACUCUGAAGAAUUGUUUGCCGUGGUUGUCUUGCGAGGCCAUAAGAAGAGAAGUUCACAAAUUGAAACGUGUGGGUGAAGGAGCUGUGAAAAAGGUCUUUCUUUCUGAGUGGAAGGAAAACAAAGUUGCUCUUUCGCAGUUAACAACGCCGGAGCUGCAGGAGGACUUUCUUCAUGGGCUGCGGAUGCUGAAAUCUCUGCAGGGCAAGCAGGUGGUCAAACUUCUUGGCUUUUGUGAGGAGGAUUUCCUGAUUCUAACGGAGUACCACCCCUUCGGCUCCUUGAAGAAUCUGAAUCAGAUACUGAACUUUCCAAAAUAUAAGGACUCCAACACUUGGCAUCGUAGGUUCCUGCUGGCCAUAGAUUAUGUGAGCAUCAUCCAUUAUCUGCACAACAGUCCUCUGGGCACAUUUGUGAUGUGUGAUUCCAGUGACUUGGAUAAAGUACUUUCACAGUAUUUACUAACCAGCGACUUCCAUGUUGUUGUGAAUGACUUGGAUGCCUUGCCUCUGGUGAACAGGAGUGCUGGUGAACUGGUCAAGUGCGGCCAUCAGGAGCUUCAGGAGCAAGUGCAGAAGAGGGCAACCAAAAUUAUUAAGGUGUUGGAGCACCUCUCCUAUGAGAAAAGCCUGGGUGUCAGUUCUAGGAUUGGCAGUCCAUGACAGAGAGAUCCUCACAGCAAGUACUCCAGGGUCUUGGUUGAAAAGGUUUUAUUAUAGAGAUCCAUUAAGUUCACAGGUCCUUCAAAGAUGCAUCGGAAUUGGCAGGAAUGAGAAUACAAGCUAAGGCACUUUGAUAUAAGGUUGCUAUGAAAAUGAAGGUCAGCAGCCAAUCUUGCCAGUAUCUCAGGAGCCACAAUCCAGUAUCCUUUUCCCACCAGUGACCAGCCUAGAGCCCUCCCUCGUCUCCCCUCUGCCCCGGCAACUGAAGUCCAAUAGGAAGUGGACUGAAAAGGAAGAUUCCAUUAGUUGUUGUGGCUAAUAAAGUCCUCUGUGUGUUUGUCUCAUUUAAAAUCACCCUAACCAGCGGCCAGUGCUACACAGCAACAUACGAAAUUACCCUCUCCUAAGGACGAUCCUUGCUCUACGGCACUCACAGUAUCACUCUGAAGGGAAAGUCACUUUCAAGGGUGUCAGACACAGAAAGGAAUCUGUGAUCAAAUAUUUGGAUGUAAA